AGUGAACGCUGGCGGCGUGCUUAACACAUGCAAGUCGAACGAGAACGGGUUAUAGCUUGCUAUAAUUGUCAGCUAAGUGGCGCACGGGUGAGUAAUGUAUAGGUAAUAUGCCUCUUACUAAGGGAUAACAAAUGGAAACGUUUGCUAAUACCUUAUACUCCUUAUUAACAGAAGUUAAUAAGGGAAAGAUUUAUUGGUAAGGGAUUAGCCUGUAUUGUAUCAGUUAGUUGGUGGGGUAAUGGCUUACCAAGACUAUGACACAUAACUGGUUUGAGAGGAUGAUCAGUCACACUGGAACUGAGACACGGUCCAGACUCCUACGGGAGGCAGCAGUGGGGAAUAUUGCACAAUGGACGAAAGUCUGAUGCAGCAACGCCGCGUGGAGGAUGACACAUUUCGGUGCGUAAACUCCUUUUAUAUGAGAAGAUAAUGACGGUAUUAUAUGAAUAAGCACCGGCUAACUCCGUGCCAGCAGCAGCCGCCG
rnacentral:rRNA from 1 species